rnacentral:Y_RNA from 1 species
GGUUGGUCCGAGUGCAGUGGUGUUUACAGCUAAUUGAUCACACCAGAUACGGAUUCCUUCAUUCCUUCUCCACUCCCACUGCUUCACUAGACCAGCCUUAA